AGCAGCCGCGGUAAUUCCAGCUCCAACAGCGUAUAUUAAAGUUGUUGCAGUUAAAAAGCUCGUAGUUGAAUUUCGGGGUUAGUAGGUUGGUCAUGCCUCUGGUAUGCACUGGCUUUACUGAUUCCUCCUUCUUGAUGAACUGUAAUGUCAUUAAUUUGGUGUUGCAGGGAAUCAGGACUGUUACUUUGAAAAAUUAGAGUGUUUAAAGCAGGCAUACGCUUGAAUACAUUAGCAUGGAAUAAUGAAAUAGGACGUUUGAUCCUAUUUUGUUGGUUUCUAGGAUUGACGUAAUGAUUAAUAGGGAUAGUUGGGGGCAUUAGUAUUCAAUUGUCAGAGGUGAAAUUCUUGGAUUUAUUGAAGACUAACUACUGCGAAAGCAUUUGCCAAGGAUGUUUUCAUUAAUCAAGAACGAAAGUUAGGGGAUCGAAGACGAUCAGAUACCGUCGUAGUCUUAACCAUAAACUAUGCCGACUAGGGAUCGGAUGAUGUUAUUUUAAUGACUCAUUCC
rnacentral:rRNA from 1 species